UUUGAUUUGUCAAAUUCGACCCUCGACUGGUCGGAGUUGAAAGCUGUUCGGUUGAACGGAUUCUCCUUCGUUUAUGUUUCGCCGACGCGGAGCUCCGUCGUGCCGUCUCUCUGGCACCGAAGGAAGAGAUCUGUCUCGCGUCUUGACGUGUGGCCAUUGAUUGCUGGGUAAUCGACCACGUGGUAGAAGUUUGAAGGUUUCUUCCCCAACGGUUUUUCUUUUAGGUUUACGGUCCAGAAGUUUUUAUGUGUAUCGGCACCCUGUUUAGGCUUUAUAUUUUUACUUUCUUGUAUUGGGCUUCGUCCUCUCUUGGACUUUGUCCCUUUAAUAAAUCUUAAGUUGACAAAAAAAAAAAAAAACUUUGAACCACCCAAUAUUAAUAAAAAGCCAAUAAGGAAAAAGUAAAGUUGCGUGACGUAUUUUUGCAAUAUUGAAAAUAAAAUAAUGUAGAGAGACAGGCAAAAUAAAUGCGGAAAAAGGUUAUGAUAAAAUCGUGACUCGGAGGAACACGAGUUUGAGAAAUUAGAAAGCAAAUCAUAUUAGGUAUUUAGUCGAAUCAUAUAAAGAAACUAAGAAGAGAAACAAUAUAAUCAAAAUGAAAUAAAAAGCGAAAUGAAUGGCGUCCACUAAUGGUGAGGUCAUUAUAAUCAACAUAAAUCCAGCUUAGCUUCCAUCACGUGCCACUUUACUUGUGCACCACCUCUUCAUUAAUCGCAUUAUCUAUCUUACAUAAAACAUGAUUAUGUGUGUUGUACUUAUGUCCACAUGCGUACACAUACACAAAUACUCACUUACAUUACGCGGGUUUAACACAUAUUUAAACAAUGUUUAAUCUUAUUUGUGAUCUGUGUCAAACGUUUUCAGUCGACAAAACAGCUAAAUGAAAUAAGUAAUGGACGCAAACAAAAAACACAGAUCAAGAUGCACGACCUUGAAUAUUUUAAACGGCCUCGUAUUUUCACUAAUGGUUAAUAGUUGUAACUUCACAGAAAUAGUUUCUUGUUCUUUAUCGGAUCGAAUAUUGAUAAGGAAAUUUAGAAAAUAAUCACGGAGAAAAAUAAUACGUAGCCAAAAAUUAAAAAGAAUACUGGUAAUAUACAGCAAAGUGCAAGCUAGUUUCAGUACAAAACCCGAGGAGAAAUAAGAGAGAUUCGCGGGGGAGCCAUGCGUGGGUUUAUUAUUCUAAUCAUAUCCUUAAAAAUGAUUAUUAAAUAAUCAGGACCUCUAAUAUCCAAUUAAUUAAAUUAAUAGUUUAGUUUCCUUUCUCUGACAACAUUAAAUUAAAUGACAAAUCCUCACGUAUUACGUGCAAUACAACUCAGCUAUAAUAUUUUUAAUUUAAUUUUGAUAUCCUGGUAAUUAGCUUUCUC
rnacentral:lncRNA from 1 species